AGCACGGACCUUUAAAAUAUGUCCUUGUGAGUUUCAAAACUUCCCUUUUCCCUUAGCAUAGAAAAGAGCACACAUUUGAUUUCCCAAUGGAUAGAACGUGGUUACAAGAUUGACUUCAAUUGAUUAAAUGAGAUAGCUUCUCCCACCACCCCUGCUGAAACCAGAGACCUACCAUUUAUCAUCAGAAAUGUAACAAAGGAACAUGCUGAACCAUUAGUAAAUGAAGCACGCUGAUUUUAAGUAUGGGGAGUUAAGGAGGCAGAAAGAAUUGCUUUUGCCGCUGGAGACCAUUACUGCUACAUUAAAGCCACAAUCCCAUACACACUUA